AUUGAACGCUGGCGGAAUGCUUUACACAUGCAAGUCGAGCGGCAGCGCGGGGGCAACCCUGGCGGCGAGCGGCGAACGGGUGAGUAAUGCAUCGGAACGUACCCAGUCGUGGGGGAUAACGUGGCGAAAGUCACGCUAAUACCGCAUACGUCCUGAGGGAGAAAGCAGGGGAUCGCAAGACCUUGCGCGAUUGGAGCGGCCGAUGUCUGAUUAGCUAGUUGGUGGGGUAAAGGCCUACCAAGGCGACGAUCAGUAGCUGGUCUGAGAGGACGAUCAGCCACACUGGGACUGAGACACGGCCCAGACUCCUACGGGAGGCAGCAGUGGGGAAUUUUGGACAAUGGGCGAAAGCCUGAUCCAGCCAUUCCGCGUGAGUGAAGAAGGCCUGGUGUAAG
rnacentral:rRNA from 1 species